CCUACGGGAGGCAGCAGUGGGGAAUAUUGGACAAUGGGCGAAAGCCUGAUCCAGCCAUGCCGCGUGUGUGAAGAAGGCCUUCGGGUUGUAAAGCACUUUAAGUGGGGAGGAAUGGCUCUUGGUUAAUAACCUUGAGCAGUGACGUUACCCACAGAAUAAGCACCGGCUAACUCUGUGCCAGCAGCCGCGGUAU
rnacentral:rRNA from 1 species